rnacentral:rRNA from 1 species
GCAAGUCGAACGAUGAAGGCGGGAGCUUGCUCCUGCUGGAUUAGUGGCGAACGGGUGAGUAACACGUGAGUAACCUGCCCUUGACUCUGGGAUAAGCGUUGGAAACGACGUCUAAUACCGGAUACGAGCUAGGACCGCAUGGUCACUAGCUGGAAAGAAUUUUGGUCAAGGAUGGACUCGCGGCCUAUCAGCUAGUUGGUGAGGUAAUGGCCCACCAAGGCGACGACGGGUAGGCGGGGUGAGAGCCCGAUC